AUAAAAUAGUAUUUGAAUAUGUUUUAUAAAUAAUGCUAUAAUAAAUAUCUAAAACUGUGACAUGCAUUGCAUCUACCUGAUUAUCAUAAUAACUCUGUAAUGUAGGUCUUACUCUUUUAUAGGUUAAGAAAUUGAAUUUUAAAGAUGUAAGAUGAAUAAUUAAUUCUCAGAAAGUUUUGGUGAGAUGGGAUUUGGGAUUUAUACCAUUAAAGCAAGCAAUAUGUUUAUAUUGUAGGAAAACUGAUUUCAAACCAUCAAGCAUAAUUUGGGUCACACUGUCAUAGCACCGUAAACAUGCACAAAUUUACAGAAGGUGAAUGACAGAAAAUUGUCAUAAAUAAUGCUUGUUGAAAUGGAUCUUGUUUAACUUUAAUUUUUUCCAUUUUUCUCCAUACUUACGGCUUACAAUCUAAAUAUAAACAUUACUCAUUUAUUAAGUUUUCCAUAGUUCAUUGGAAUUUGUUAAAAACUGUUCAUUCUUAAGCCACCAGUGUCUCUCAUUAAUUAUCUCCACAAAUUUAAAUAUAUCUGUGAUUUCACAACAUUCACAUAAAUCAGUGUGGCUUUCUCUUUAUCCAAUCUUCAGUUCAUGCAGACAGCUAGCUAAAUUUUGUUAAGGCACUCACUUUGGGAUGGGCAUUGUUGUUAGUAUUGGAGACAAAGAUGUAAAAUGAGUUAUUUUUAUUCAUAUAGUCUCUAAUUAUAUAUUAUAGAAUCUGUAUAGUUUCACAUAAUUGAUAAAUUGGGAAAUAUUUAUGAAAAUUGUUCACAUAUAUAUCAAGCAUAUAAAUACAAGCAGAGUUUAUUCUUACAUGAUUUUGUAAGGGAGGAAAGCCAGGUCAACGCAUGCUAAUUUUUUCCUAAAGAGAUUGUAUUAAAUAAUGUUUUCCUCACUAGAUACAGUUGCAAUUUUGUGAUCCCAUUAAUCAUUUUCUUGAUAUAAAUAAAUAUUUCUGAUUGUAUUUUAUUCCUCUAAUCAGUACAGAACUGGAAUCUAGGGAACUGCAGAGUGAACUGACCAGAAGAGAGUUACUAACUGGAGGAGGCAGGAUACAUAAAAAGAAGUGUUAAGAAUUGCCCUUUGAGAGUCUGAAGGCUGAAGACUUAACAGCUCACAAGAAAAAAGAAAGUACACAUUUUUCCUCAGGAAUUGCUUUACAACUUACUACAAGAGAUAAAAAUGUAUUUGUUGGGGACAACAGAACUCUUCAGGUGACAUUUAAUGGCAACUGAUAGACAGAAGUCCAGAAUUUCAGGCAAGAAAUUGACAAUAGACUUGUGUUGCUGCAUUGUGUAUAAAGAGCUCAUAGGGCUUGAAGUAGGUUUCUUAGACGAGAGGGGGCUGUAAUUACUUUGCUUUUUACAUGCAUGGUUAGAUUUUUCUAGCAAGAAUAAUAUGGUAGGGUAAUUUAUUAUAGAAGAGUAAAUCAUAGUUUACGUUGGAGGGGGAUGGGGUGGAUAAGAUCCAGCCAUCAGUUUUGUGAAUACAUACACUUAAGCAUGUGUGAUAGCUUGUUUUUAAUUUCUGUACACCAGUGCACACCUCAAACAUUCCGUUUAGCAGUGGGAUAUGCAAAUUGUUCCAAAUGCAGCAGCAGUACUUUCACCUGAAUGUCAAAACUGUCAGAGAGCUUUAAAUCAAGUCUUUAUAACAUUUUUAAAAAACCAGCCAGCCCCAAGAUUGAGGUACCAAACUCUGAAAAAACUUGAUUUCCAUACUUCCAAAAAGCUUGUGUGUGUCAACAGUGUAAUGUCGAAGUUCUAAUUCACCUGCUUUCUAAUUUUAACCUUUUAAAGAUUUUAUUUUAUUUGGCUUAAUUAUGAUAUUUUCUACAAAUUAAUGAUAAAUGCCUUGAUUAAUAAAACCAAAUGUCAGAGAAAAUGACAACUUGAUGAAAAAUUAAUACUCUACAAUAUUUUAAGGUACAGAAGUACUAAAGAUGUACUCUUAAACCUCAUAUCUCAUCAGCUCUUUCUGAAGGUAGGUAACCAGAAUUCUCUUUUUACUUAACUUUUCACAUCCACACACGUAGAUACAUUUUAGCAAUAUAAUUUGCAGCACUUUUUGGCUGUUUUUACUACUAGGUAUUAUAGAUGGAAAUAUACUCCUAAUUUGUGUAUUUUUUGCCUCAUUAUAUUUAUUUUUAUUUCACAAAAUCAAAAUAAAAAUAUACUUUGAGUUUGUUAUAGAAAUGAAGUUAGCUUUCUAAGAAUCUGGUUACUGCAUGCAGGUAUGUGUGUUUUAAAGAAAUCUCUUGGUGUAAAAUUUAGCAGUUGUGAUUCCAUGUAUGGUAGACUAAUUCAAUUGGUUAUGACUAUUUUGGAUUUUAGUGUAUAUGCUGCUGAAGGAAGUACUAUUUUGGAUUUUAUAUUUAGAAUUAUUCAGUAAAGUAAUGAAAUUUUAGAAAAAGAGAGAAAAAAAGAGGGCAGAAGAGGAGAGAGAGGGAAAGAAAAACCUUUUAAAGAGAGAUUUUAAUAUAGGUAUUUGCUUUUCAAAAAAUACAUAUGAGGCUUCAUUAAGAGAACUAAAUACAAAUAGUUAAAAUUUCCUUUUUAUGCACCAUUGGGUAAAAAAAUGAGAAAUAUGUCUACUUUAUUUUUCUGCUUUUACUGUACAUCUUUGGGUUGAAAAAUAAAAGUAUCUUGCAUAUUUCUGCAUCUCCACAAAUCCCAAGAUUUUUUAACAUAAAUACUUAACUAUUCAUUUAAAUGUUAUAUAACAUAUGUAAGAUUAUAAUGUGUGUCGGUUUUUUAUUUUCAUAUUUCACAAAUAAAGCUGCCAGCCAAAUGAUGGAGGGCACAAUGACCUCUUUUGUGUUGUGCUUUUUUUUGUUGUUUGUUUGACUGUUCAGGAUAAAAAGACUCACAUAAUGUACUAUCAUUGAAAUGGACUCAUUUUGACCAUCUGUUCAUGGUCAACCCUAUCAAUAGAAAUUUUUGCCAACUAAUGUUGUAUUGGGAAUUUUUAGAUAAGUGUUUAAGGAAUAUUAUUCUGCAUAGUGAGAUUAAGUUGGAGGUAAGUGUUGGUCAACAUUCUGUAAACACAAUAUAUGCUAAUCCCAAGGGAAAACGCUACUUUGUGUAAAUUUCUAGUAAUAUUUAAAAUUGGAAAUGGUUGGCAUUGAAUCUUCCCUCAGCUGGCUCUAGAUUUUAUUAUUUUUGUGUCUUGCCUGGUUCCAGGCAUCCAGUCUGUACUGGCAAAGCUGCUUGAUGAGUAGAGGCCACCAACAUUGCUGCCCUAACUCCUUACAUACCUGCUAUGAAUAGUAACUCUGUCAACUAGUUUUGUUGCUGUCUCUGUUCCAUUUUAGCUGAUCACUGUCUAGAGGAGCUAAAUUCCAUUGUGACACAAGGCUCCUAUUAUGUUUUUGCUAAUUUGUAUUAAAAAUCAUCUAUUUUUCUUUUUUUAUACAAUAGAAGAAUAAGACAUGCUCAGCUUGAUAGUUUCUGAAUUACAUGUUAAACAAUGUGCUUUCCCUCCCUUGUUUAUCAUGUUCUUCAUCAUUUUAUCAGUUUAUUUCUGUAUAUGAACCAAAUACCCAUUUUUUGUUAUUUAUAAAAAUGAAUAAGGGAUUACUUAUUAUAGUACUCAACAACCCAUAGUUUUACAAAUUUUUAGUUGAGAUUCUAGUUAUUUGGCUAAGUACUGUAUGAGAAUGUUGCUUUUCUCCAUACUUUGUAUUAUCAAGGAAGAAAGACUUAAACUCAAAACAAUUUCUGAAAAGGCUUUUGCUUGAUGUUCCAUUGUUUGAUCUUACAAGUGAGAACUGACUCAAUCUUACAAAGAAUUCUUUGUUUCAGAGAAUUCAGUUAUAAUAUUUUAAACUCAGUUCUUGCAUUAAUAAACAUAAUGAUCAACUUAUGUUCAAUGAAAAGUCUAACUACUAUGGAAAACUAAUAAUUAGACUAUCUGUCAUCCAACAGAAAAAAGCUAAAAAUAAAUAUAUUUUAUAAAAGACUAUAUUUUAUUCCACAAGAUUAAGUAAUUCAGGCCUUACUGACAAGAAAAGAUUAAUAUGGCUUCUAAACUUAUCUAAUGUACUCAAAUAUGAGUAGAAUGAUCAGUUUUUUAAAAAAUAAAUCAUUUAUUUUGUUUCUUUUGGAAGCUUGUGUUUAUUAAUUGCAUAAAAUAUACUCAUGAAACACACUUAUAAUUAAUCAAAAUAUAUCCAAAAAAAGCAGGAUAUAGAGGGAACUUAUAUUUCUUGCCAAAAUGCUACAUUCAGUUUUGCUCUAUAUCUGCCAUUUCCCCCAAUAUUCAGGCUCUUUUUGUAUCUUUUAGUAGUGACAAGAUGUUUUUUAUUCUUCUAAUGAAGUAGGAAGUAAAUUAACAUGCUGGGUGGGGGGAGCUUACAUUACUUAUUGUAGUAGCAUUCAAAAUAUCUUUGUAAUGCUCUCUGACUCCUACCUACAACUAAUUAGUGAUUUUCAGAAUUAGAGAAGAUUUUAGUUGUGUGGUAGCUCUAUAUUUACUAGUGAUCAAGGAAGUGUUACUAAUUCAUUUGUCAGUAUUAAAAAAGAAGUAAGCAAAUAAAGGGCCAGAUGGUUGAGCCCAGGACCUAUCAAAAGCCCAGUAUGUGUGGGCUAGACCAACGAAAUGACAGAAACACUUACCAGGCCAACUGGAACCAGAGUUAAGCCUUCACUUAUAAGAAAAUGAAUGUUUUUCAAGUAUGUUUCUUUCAUACUGUGUUUAACAUGUGCAAAUAUUACCUAUACUAAUAAUAUUUGGGUGCCAUACAUUUCCUUCUAUCGAUAGACAAUGAUAACAUGUAUCAGAAAACUCUUGUGGAAUAUCACAAAAAUGCAAUUAAUACUAGAAUGCAAUUAAACAGUUACCAUGAAAACAUUUUUGCUGGUUCCAAGAAUACUGAUUUUUUUUUCUCCUACAAAAAUCUAUAUUUCUACAAUUAUAAAAGUACUUAGAUCUCAUCUAAAAGAUGAUAGGCCUCGUGAUACUUUGGUACUUGGUUAUGCAAUACUUUCCAUAGUGCAUGACUAGAGGAGGAACUAGUGUAUAUUUGCUUAAUGUUUUGUGAUUAGUAUUAUAAUCAUUGUUAUAAGAUUAACUUACAUUGUAGAAAUUAUAUAGCACAUUCCCUUUAUUUCCUAUGAUUUGACUGCCUUUCCAUGUAUACAUUAUAUAAAUACCAUUUUCUAUCCUAGUUAGCAUCUUUUUCAUGUUUCAUCUAUGUUAUCUUGUAAGUAUUUACCUUUGGAAACUUUUAAAUCUUUUACUUUCUUGGAUAGACUUAUAAAUUGUUAGAUCAGUAACUUGAUCAAAUAAAGUGUGAAUUUAAAAAAAAAUUUCUUCCAAAAUCAUACAAAUAAUAUUUAAGGUGAUUGGAUAACUGUAGGCCUCUACCUUCAUUUUCUCCAUCCCUGUUUUUCAUUUUUUACUCAGUAUUUAUUGACUGUCAGCUUUGUACCAGGAACUUUCUAGGUGAUAGAUACUAACUGUUGAACAAAAGAGAUACAGACCUUUCUCUUUGUGGAGUUGAUAAUAUAGUAUGGAAAUAUAAUAAAUACAUAAAUAAACACUCUAGCAUUGUUAAGUAAGAAUUUGAUCUACAGUGGAGGAAUUACUGUAUCUUCAGUUGCUGGUUUCCUUAAUACUGGAUUAUUUCUGGAUUAAAAAAUUGUGGAACAGCCAAAUUGUUUCGGGUUAUGUUUAAAGCAGCAAGUAGUUGUGGCAUGAAUGUGAAAGAAGUAAUAUUUGCUUCCAGAAGUUAUAAAGAACAUAGAUUUUCAAAUAUGGCUUACUUUAUGUACUAUAAAUGACCUCCAUAUGUAUUUUCAAAUAUCAGAUUGACAAAUCAUUGGAAUUUUAGUAUUUUAAUUUAUAGGAAAAUUUUUUUAAAAAUUGCUUAUUAAUAGUACAGAGUUUAUCUGUGAAUUAGGUUGUAGUAAUGGCAAAGAAAGAUCAGGUGACAGAAAAGCAUGUAUUUUUCCUCUCAGUGGACAUGUGUGGGGAAUAUUUUUGUCUUCCUAUCAGACUCUUCAUUAUGCAUCCUUUUGGAUGUGUGCAGUUUGGCCUUCCAGCCUUCAAGCUCAUUCAGUAGCAUUCCAAGUCAUUAUGCUGGACUUCAGCCUUGUUCACUAAAAACACCAUUUCCCCCAUCAGCUGUGCACUUGGAAUACAUUCUUGUUAGUUUCACAAAUAUUUUAUAUGUAUUUAGUAUAUAUUAGAUGCAUUUGUCAAAUUACUUGUAGAUAAUCAGUUUUUUAAAGUUAUAAUUUGAGCUAUAACCUCUCAAACUGUGAAUUAUAAGGUUUGACCCUUUGGUUCACAUUUUGACACAGCAGCCAUUAAUUAUAGUUUUUAAAGGGCAUUUUAUUUCAGUAGAAUUAUGUUCUGAAAACAGUUUAAAUAUUUUCUAUUUAACUUUCAGGAAUAAAUGCCAAAAUGUAACUGCAUAAAUAUCUAUAUAUUUAUACCUACAUAUAAUGUGUACAUUCGAAUAUAAUGUAUAGCUGGAAUACAUAUCUAUAUUAUAUUAAAUGUAUUUAUGCAUAUUCAUACCAGUACAUUAAGUCUGUUAUACAUACCUAUGGCAAUAUUUAUAUUAUCUGUGAAUUAACACUAAGAUCAUAUUUAUUUUACACAAGUGAAGUAUAUGAUUAAAUAUGAUUAUUAGGGUAAGAAAUACAUUAUUAGCAAUCAAAUCUGGGCUUUUCCCUUUUCCUUGAACAGGGAAACACAUGUAGGUGCCCAACAAUUGCCCGUAUAUAACAGUAAUCUGAAAACUGAAUACAUUUUGAUGUAGCUUGAUGUGGGACAAUAUGAACUGUUCAGGUGGUUUUUGUAAGUGUGUAUAAUGAGGGUACAAAAGGGGGAAUAUAUGGCAAAAAGUUCAGUUUAAGUAAGCUGAGAAAGACAUUGACACAUGUGGAUGCUUCGCGUUAUAAUCAAUAUUCAUAUAAGGGGAAAUAGUUCCAGUAUGUGAUUUUUCUGUUAUUUCACAAAAUAAAUAGUAAUGUUAUUUCCUUAUUAAGCAGUUUUGCUCAUUUUGUGAUAAUUGUAUUCUUAUUUGCUAAAUUCACAAAAUUAAAAGUGAAAUAUUAUAUAGAGAUGAGUACUUUAAAAAUAUGGGACUACUUUCUUUAAUGGUACACAAUCACUCCUUUGUAUUUCAAGUAUUUCUGAAAUGGUUACUUGGUUUUGCCCCAAUUAUUGUGCAGGCUAAUAUGUUAUUCUAUACCAUGAUGCAUUUUCUAACAAAAAGUUAUUUAGGCAAUAACAUGUAAACAAAGAACUCUCAAGGAAAAUAACUCUUCUCUUACAGGAAUCUUACUCCUGAAAAUUAUCCCUAUGAAAAAUAUUUCCCUGUCACAUUUGAGAUUACUAAUACUUUAAUUUUUUUUUAAGAAUUAUCAUUAUAGAAACAUAAUUUUGGGCCGGGGAUUUAGCUCAGUGGUGCUGCUGCCUGCCUUGAAAGCCCAAGGUCUUGAGUUUGAUCCCCAGUACCAAAAAAAAAAAAAAAAGAAAUAUUAUUUUUUUUUUGGAAUUAUUAUCUUAGCUCUAGAGUUUCAAAUGGUUUCUGUCACUACCUGACUUGAUUUUGGAGUGCCUUUGUGAUAGUUAUGUGGGAACUUUUGUUUAUUCAAAGUAUAUGUUUUAUAUUUCCUGUACUGGAAUUAGCAUUGUAUUUGGAGUUAGGACUAAAUUUAUGUUUUGGCUCAACUAUUUACAGUGAGUUGAGGAAAGUUAUUUUUCUUCUCUGGGUCUAAAUCUACUUAGGUAUUAUCUCAUGGGGUUAUAUUAAUGACUGGUGAUAUUAUUAAUAAGAUGUUCAAUGCUUGAAAAUAGAAAUUUAUCAAUAGCUAAUGAUGGUUUAAACUGGAACAAUGUUUACCAUUUUUAAAAACAUCGAAGUAUUUUUAAAAUAAUUUCCUGUCUUUCUGAUAAAUCUACCUUAUCUUACAUUUGCAUCAUGUGCUGUUUCUUUUGCUUUGUUCCCUAUUUUUAUCUACUGAUUUCUCAAUGUUUAUCUUUGCAUCUGGAGUAAUCACCUCACUAACAGUACAUUAGACAGGCUAGAGAUUAUUCCCUAAAAGGAAGCCAGUGUAUUGUUUAAAAGGAUUAAUAAAUGCUCCAUACAAGGAAAUUAUUUAUGGUGGGCCAAGUGUGUAGUCAUUUCUAUAAUAUUAUUAAAGCAGGAACUAAGCAAUAGAAAGUCUUUUUCUGAUAAGUAUAUAGUUUGGAUUAGAUUCUUUUCAUUUUAAACUCAUUUAUUUGUAGCUUUUAAGGAACCAUGUUCCUUUAUUUUGUUGCUCGAUAAGCAAAAGUAAUAAAGGAAAUAAUCAGAAAACUGAAGAGAUUACCUGAGAACCAGGAUUUGAAAACUAUGCAAGUGAUAAAAAAUUAAUAUCUGAAAUAUCUAAAGAACUAUGAGUAGAGAAUGUGAAUAGAUGUUCUCAAAAAAAAUAGUCAGUAGAUGAAUGAAAGCAUGGUCUACAUCAAUAAUCAUCAGGAAAAUGCAAAUUAAAACUAAAAUAAGAAUUUAUUUCACACCUAUUAGAAUGACUUAAUAUAAAGUUAAAAGGAAAGUGUUGGUGAGAUUGUGAAAGAAAAGGAUCCAUUGUACCCCCUUUAGGUAACUCCUUAAAUUAGUGUAAACAUUAUUAAAUACAGUUUAGAGCUUCCCCCCAAAUUAAAAAUGGAAUUACUAUAUUAUCUGUGAAAACCACUAUGGUAUAUAAAUUCAAAGGAUAGGAAAGCUGUACGUGGAAAAAACAUCUACACUCCAGUGUUCAUUGCAGCAUUAUUCACAGCAUCCAACAUAAGGAAGCAAACUAAGUGUCCAUCAGCAGAUGAAUGCAUAAAGAAAAUAUGGUUUAUAUACACAAUGGAAUACAACUAAGGCUUAAAAAGAAGGAGCUCUAUUUAUUUUGUAAUGCUUUUCCAAACAUGGAGGAAACUGAAAGAUAUUAUAUUAAAUGAAAUGUUAGGCACAGAAGGAAAAAAUACUAAAUGGUGUCAUUUUAUGUGGAAUCUAAAAAACUUGAACUCAGACAAACCAAAAAUAAAAUGGUGGUUACCAGAGGUGUGGUAAUGGAAGGAGAUUGGGUACAAAUUGGUCAAAGAGUACAUAAUUUCAGGUAGGAUAAAUAAGUUGAAGAGAUCUAUUAAAUAUUAUAGUAAUUAUAGUUAAUAUAUGCUUGAAAAUUGCUAAAAGAGUAAUUUUAAGCAUUCUUACCACAAGAAAAUGAUUAAGUAUAUUAGAUAAUGGAUAUUGUUCUACACUACAAUAUAUAUAAUUUUUACCUGUGAAAGAAAUAAAUUUAAUAAAUUUAAAACAAAAAUAACAUAAGUAUAUGUUAGAAUUUUCAAAAAGCAGAAAAUUUCAGAAAUUAAUUGAAAACAAAUUUUUAUUACACCAAGUAAACUUAAUCAUUUGAAAAUUUCCCAGAAUCUAUUGGGUUGUGAAUCUAACAGCUUCUCUUUCUACUAGCUUUUAUUACUGUUAUCAUUCAAUCUUUUUAAUAUACACAUCUUAGGGGUUUUUUUGUGGUACAAGCUAGUAGUUUGGUUUGAAGGACCUCUAAAUCUUAACUCUAUAUGAAGUUUGAAAUUUGAAAGUAGUUUUCAGAGAUGACUUAGCAAACUUCAGGAUAAUUCAUAAGAUUUAUACUGACUUCAUCCUUCAUUGGUAAAGAUAUAGCUUCACUUUUUCUUACUCCUCAUAUUGCUUACGAGGGAAUACUAUAGGAUGACAUGGAAAAUUCUUAAUUUGGUCCCAGUCAACACAUAGCCUGUCUCCAAGAUUUAUCUAGUAUGAAUUGGACUGGUAUAAACUUGGGUAUGCAUAUAUCACUGUGGUAUAAUGUCUUUAACUCUUUUGGCGAGAUACUUAGAAGGGGAAUAGCUGGGUCAAAUUGAAUUUCUACUUUUAGCCUUUUGAGGACUCUUCCUACUGGUUUCCAUAGUGGUUGUAUCAGUUUACAGUCCCAGCAACAAUGGAGAAGGGUUCCUUUCUAUCCACAGCCUCAUUAGCAUGUAUUAUUGGUUAGUUUGUUGAUGGUAGUCAUUCUUUCUGAAGUGAGAUGGAAUCUCAGUGCUGUUUUAAUUUGCAUUUUUCUAAUGGCCAGUGAUGUUCAACAUUUUGUGAUGUGCUUAUUGAGCAUGUGUAUUUCUUUAUCUAAGACGUGUCUGUUCAUUUCAGAUGCCCAUAUUUUGAUUGUGUCUUUAAUCUGGGAGGAUCUAACUUUAAAUUUAGAGUUCUUUAUAUAUUCUGGAUAUUAGUCUUUUGUCUGCGGAGUAGCUGGCAAAAGUUUUUUCCCCUUUCUGUCGGUUGGUUCUUCACUCUAUUGGUGGUUUCCUUUGCUGUGCAGAAGCUUUUUAAUUUGAUGUGAUCUUAUUUGUUGAUUCUUAGUAUUAUUUCUUGUGCAAAGUUUUGUUCAGAAAGUCUUUGCCUAUGUCUAUGUUUUCAAGAGUUUCGCCUGUUUUGUCUUCCAGCAGAUUUUUUCUGUUCUAAAGUUCAAAUUUUUGUUCCAUUUUUAUUUUAAUUUAGUGCAUGGUGAGAGAUAACAGAUCUAGAUUCAAUCUUCAGCAUGUGGAUACCAGUUUUCCCAUCUGAUAAAGAGGCUGUGCUUUGUCCAGCUAGGGAUUUAGUCUCUUUGUUAAAGGUAACGUAGCUGAGUGUGCCUGGUAUUGUUUGUGUAUUUUCUAUUCUAGUGCUGGAAAACAUAUGGCAUGUGUGCUAUAGCAGACAUGCAGACCUCUAUCUGUCAGCAAGGGAACCACGGUGCUCCAGCAUCUGAAAAAUGGAUAACAGUUGUCUUUCUAAACUAAAACCUCAGUAUCGCAGUAUUGACACUUUGCAAUAAAUAAGUGGGUUUUGUGUUGCAGUUUGGGCAUUUGGUCUCAGAAAGGCUCACCAUCACGGUUCUAUUCUGUUCCAUUGAUCCACAAGUUUGUUGUUCUCCUUUUUCCUUCUUUCUUUUCUUUUUUUUGACAAUACCAUGUUGUUUUUAUCAUCAGUAGUUUGUAGUAUAAUUUGAAGUCCGGGACUCUGAUUCCUCCUGCCUUGCCCUUGUUGUCCAGAAUUGCUUUUGCUAUUCUGCGUGCUCUUGUGGUCCCAUAUAUGUUUUAAGAUUGCUUUCUCUUGGUCUGUGAGGAUUGUUACUGGUAUUUUUUUUAUUGGAAUUGCAUUAAAUCUAUGUAACAGUUUUGAAGGUAUGACCAUUUUGACAAUAUUGUUUCUGCCUAUCCAGGAACAGAGAAUAUCUUUCCAUUUUCUCAUAUCUUCUUCUUAUGUUGGGCUGGGGAUGUAGCUCAGUGGUGUAGUGCCUACCUAGCAAACUCAAGGCCCUGAGUUCAAUUCAUGGUACCGAAGAAGAAAAUAAAAGCUCCUUUAAAAUAUUAAAAAAAUACUAUUUUACCAAUGAAGCUUUUUUUACUUUCUAAUAUAGAGUCAAAAUAUUUUUCUUUAUUGUUUCUUUAACAUUUACUCACAUGUGCUUAACAUCAUAACAUGCCACCCCCAUUUUUACCUUUGCCUGUCUCCUUCCUAGGUGGUAAGCUUCUUGAGGGUAGGAAGUAUAUCUUCUUCAUUUUUUUGUGCCUGACCCAGAUCAGAUACUCAAUAAGUAUUUAAAGAAUUGAGUAGUCUAUGAAUGGACCUAAAGAAACUAUGUUAUCAUCUGUACACAGGACUUACUUAAAAUAAAAACAGAAAAAAGAGGUCCUUUCAAUUUCCCUUGACUCAUUACUCCAUUUCCUUUGGUUCUAUGUAUUUGUUUUAAGACUUAUUUUUUAUAGUAACAACGAAACAAAAGGUUUGCUUCAUACUGGAACAAAGUUGAAUAUAAUUUUGAGACAAAAGAUUGUUUUUAGUCAAAAUAAAGGACUAAGUUACUUGUGAAAGUAAUACUGGAUUUCAGUACUUAGAAUGAAAAUGUUGAAGGAUUAAAAUGGGACUUCUUAAAAACACAUAAUUUUAUUAUACCUACCCCGAUGGUUAUACUAGUUUGAAGGUAUUUUUAAUAUGUAUAGACUUACCCAGUAUCUGGAAUUUAGGCAAAUUGCCUCCUAAAUGGAUCUGCUUGGAAAGCAUAAAAUGAUAGUUCCUUUCCCAAAGAAUGAUAAGGAUGUAUUAAGAUAGUGCUCAUUGUUUAAUAGUGUCUCAGCUGAAACAGGUGCUUUACUUGCUUUGUUCUGCAGAAGCAGCUUUAUAGAUUUAACUGCUGAAUAUACUGUACACAGUAGCGCUAUUAACAAAUGAGAAUGAGGCCAGGGGAAAACUCAUCUAGGAUCCACACACCUAAUGCAGUUAGUAAAUAGAGACACUAACUGUCAUUAAGCAUAAUUAAACCUAAUAUUGACUGUAAAUUGUUACUUACCUUAAACUUCUCAGUAGAAAGGGAUUAGCCAAGAAGAUUGGAGCAUUAAUUACUACCUAUUUCACAUUAAAGUUACUACCAAGAAGGGCUAAAUUCAUAAAUAAAACAUAGGAGGGAUUGAGAGACUGAAAAUAUGUAAAUUCCUUUUAUAAAAAAGAAAGAAAAGUCUAAAUUUAAAAAAAGUAAGUGAACUGUGAGUGUUGCCAUCCUCAGCAAAAUGUAACCCUAGCUAAUUACUGUAAAACAUAGGCUAAAAUAUUCGCAGAGAAGAAUCUUUGCCUUCUGACUGAUAGAAUCUGCUUCAUGGGAGACUUCAGCUUAACUUCUUCCACAUUCUUCAACUAACAUGGGGUUUAAGAGAGGAUGAAGGGACUUGGGAAAAAUAUAGUUUCUUUUCCUUUUCUUCCCAGUCAUUAAUAGCCCUUUAUUUAUGAAACUGAUUGUAAUGAUUGCAUAAAUGUUGUUUGGUUUGUUAGCAAGAAGGCACAGUGCUGUUUUUUGUUGAGCCAAAAUGGCCUGAUAUCUGGUCUCUUGCUACUAUUUAAUAAUCUCCUUCUUGGGUGUAAUCUAAAGAGUAUGUUGUGAUGGAUAUAAAAAUGCCAGCUAAAUUUAAGAUCUGCUGUUAAAUUUUUAUAUUAUACUGCUCCCUGAGAGGGGAGGCCAGG
ensembl:lncRNA